AUGAUGUUUUCUCACCUGUUGUGAAACACAAAACAAUUCAGUUUCUAUUAGCCCUGGUACGUGCGUUUAAUUUGGGGCUUGAGUAACUUGACGUCGAAAUUGCAUUCUUAGAUGGUAAUUUAGAAGAAAAGAUUUACGUCUCAUCCAAAUCGAUUCCCUGAUGUCAAGAAAUAUCAUGUGUAUUUGUUGAAAAAUUUUCUUUAUGGUAUGAAACAGUCCCUAAGGGGUGCGAUAUAAUUGUUGAUUCAUUUGUGAUCAUGGCUAUGAUCGAGUUCAAUUUGAUAAUUGUGUCUACUUGAAUAAAUUGUCAAAUGGUUCCUAUAUAUAUAUAUGUAUGUUGUUACAUAUGGAUUUUAUGUUAAUUGCAACUAAGAAUAUGGCUAAAACUAAUGACUUCAAAUCUUUUGUAACAUCCGGUUUUCCAGGUAUUAAUUUCAUGAUUUCAUUUUUGAGAUUUUGAGUUGGCCACGACAUGGUGACCAGGAUCACCAUGACGUGGUCAUGCAAUGGCCACGCCGUGGUGACGACAGAUAUGCAAAACCCUAGAUUACGAGUUUGGUCCCAUAUUUAAAGGCACUAACAUCCAGGGCUGCCUCAUUUAGCAACCUCCAUUCUUUGAAAAUGGCUCGCAUCCAACCCAUAUCCCCCUUUGCAUGCUUUUGUCUCAUCUUUGGUGUUUUGUGACCUUGGAAGGAAGAAGAAGGAGCUAUAGUGCCUAGAUCCAACAAACAACCCAUCUUUAUUCCUUGUAUGCAUCUUUUGGAUCCAUUAUAAGUCAUCAAGCUUCCACUUUUUUGGUCUCUCCUUCAUAGAUCCUGGUUUUAUUGCUUGUUUUUGGCUCAUAUUUGAGUUUGGUUUGGUUUGGUGAGAUAUGUUUUGCAACUUUAUAGCUCACACUGGUCCUUUGGUCACUAUAUCUAUAGGAUCUAGAAGUUGAUUAAGCUUUAAGAGCCAUGCAUGAUUUUUUGGCAAAUUGCUCAUCAUUUUGACCUAGUUAGGCGAAGGAAAUGCAUGAGUUAUUCAUGUCCAUAAAGUUGGAUUUGUAUGACCAUUAGAGUCCUAAGAAGCUUACUAGAAAGUGUGAGCAUAGAGAAUGUCGUGAUUUUUUUGCCUGGACUACGCCACGAUAUGGUGGCAUGCUUGCCACGACUUGGGAGUGGAUUUGGAUCGCGACUUAAUCGGAUGGCCAAGACGUGGCCAUGGAUUGGUCAUGACAUGGAGAUCACUUGGAGUUGACUUUGACCGUUGACUUUUUGACUUGGUUGACUUUUAUCCAAAUUGCUAGUUUUAGAAGGUAGACUAAGUAUUGACUUUGUAUGAUUCGGUAGGUGGUGCUUAGCACCCACUUCUCGACUGUGUGAGCUUGUUAGUUGUCGACUGCAUUUGUGAGGUGAGUCUUCUCACUAUACUAUGUAGGUUGAUAGUUUGUCUUUGUGACUUUAGCAUGAAAGACUAUGGAAGGACCAUGACACUUGUAUGAAAGGCCAUGGGAGGACCAUGGAACUUGCAUUGAAAUACCAUGCGAGGACCAUGGCAACCGUAAGGAAGACUAUGGGAGGACCAUAGAAUUCACACGUUCUAUAUGUUAUGUAUGAUAUGUGGUAUUUUUGGGAACUCACUAAUCUUUGUGCUUACGAUUUAUGUUUAAAUGUUUUAGGUACUUCUAGUUCCAAAAGGAAGGACUUGACAUGAUUACAUCACAUCUACUAGAGAUUCCACACUUAUGAUUUUUUUAUUACCCUGUUGUUACUUUGAAACACCUUUCAUUACUCUAACUAUCUUUUGGAAGUAAUGGAUUAAUUGGUUGAUUUAAAAAUGAAAAUUUUUACCUUGUGUUUUGGGAUGUUACAACUUUACUGAAAAGUGAGUUCAAGAUUAGAGAUUUGAGUGCAACAAAGAAGAUAUCAGGCAUAGGGAUUUUGAGGGAUAAAAGAGUGGGUUCUUAACAAAAUUAUAUUGAGAAAGUCUUGUUGGCAUUCUAUAUCGAUCAAUCUUACCCAAUGUUUCACCUUUAGCGGCACAGUUUAAACUAGACUACAACACAAUACCAACACAAAUGGGGAGAUGUGUUACAUGAGCAGUGUUUCAUAUCACACGUUGUUGAAAGCCUCAUAUACGUUAUGGUCUGUAGUGGUCCUGAGUUAGAUCAUGUCAUUAGUUUGGUAAGCAAGUUUAUGAGCAAUAUAGAAAAGUCUCAUUGGAAAGCAAUCAAGCAAACUAUGCGAAGAAAAGCAAUAAGUACCAUUGGACAAGCAAAUCACUUUGGGAAUCAACUUUAAGGAUCCUCUUGCACUUAAAAAGAACUCCUAAUUUUGUUUAGUUUAUAAUGCUAGAAAAUAUAUAGAUGGGCUAGUUGGUUGUGCAAACUUGGAUCACGAUGGAGACUUGGUGAAGAGAAAAUCACUUACAUAUUGUAUUUUACCUUGUUUGUAUGUGUUGUUAUUUAGAAGGCAACAUUACAACCUAUAAUUGUCAUGUCCACAACCAAGGUAGAGUACAUGUCAAUAACCGAAGGGAUAAAGGAAUGCAUAUGGAUACAUGGCCUUGUUCAAAGUCUUGAGUUGAAGAUGCAGAAGCCUACUUUGUAUGGUGGCAAUCAUAUUGAUGUUCUUAAAUAAGACAUGUUAUGAGAAGAUAUAUAUUGAAACACCCGACAAAUAUGUAGACAAAGGUGUUACAAACGAAGAUGUUUAAGCAUUAUUUGGGACUUGGAGAGUGUUCUCAGGAUGUAUGUCCCUUCGGGGAAAACUGACAAGAAGGAGAUGAAUCUUGGAAAUCUUUGAUGCUUAAAGACAAUUCAAGUCAAUAUGGAUAAUAUUAGUGAGUGACAUGAAAUUUGAUGAACCGAAUAAAUAAUCCAACCCAAACAAAAUGAAGAAACCCGAAUGGUGAUUUUUGAAGAGAUAAGUGUUUGGAGUAGACUAAGGAUCGUUAGGCCCGAAGACGUACACAACAAACACUUAGCCCAUGGGGUAUGGGACCCCUAUGGCAACAACAUGGAUUUAUUUAGUUGUUUCGAGUUUAUUUGUAUAUGAGUCUGGUCCUAUAAAAAAAAUAGUAAAUCGCACCUUCGGUUAUACUGAGUAUGGUCCUAUAGUUACUAGUGACUACGGUUAUACGUAUCUGAAGCUGUCAAGUAAUAGCAAAGUCUUUGACUCCUGCCCAUGGAUGUAGGUCAAAUCGACCAAACCACGUUCGGUGUCGUUUUUUAUUGAUUUUUUUUAUUGCUUGUGUAACAAUAAACAUCACAUUACAUAUAUGUAUAUCUUUUUAUUGCUUUUCUUUGAUUGCUUGUGUAACAAUAAAAAAUCACAUUAAAUAUAUGAUAUAUCGUAACAAACAAUAAAGAAGCACAUGUACUUUGAAAAAAAAGAAGAAAUAUAGAUUUUAAUAAUUCAAUGACUUUAUAUAGAAUAUUGUCAUUCUUAGUAGAUUUAAGAAACUAUUAAAAAUCAAAAUCAUACCCCAAAAUACUGAUAUUAUACACCCAAAUAACUCCCGACUCCACAAUUUCAUGUGAAUUACAUUAUAAUUAUUAAUUAUAAAAUUAAUUAAAACUAUUACCCUUUUUACACAACUUUUCUUUCGUACAUCGUUACAAGUCUAAACUAAGGGGGUGGGAAAGGUAAUUAGCCGAGGGGCAUUUAUGUAAAGUCGCUAUCUCCUCCCACAUGUUAAAGGGAUCAGUUCCCAUGUGCAACUCUUUUAAUUUAUUCAUUCAUUGCAGAAUAACUUCCCACUCUCGUGCCCUGUUUUGUUGUUUUCUCUCCUCCAAAAGACAAUCACCCAACGUCUUCAAUGAUUUUGUCUCCCAAUCAACAACUCAUCAAUUUCUUUACCCUCAAUUUUCAUUAACACUUUAUAAAAAAAUAGAUACAUUUCGAUUUUUAAUCUCAAAAAUACGAUAUAAAAAAGAAAAUUCGACAUAAAAAAAUAUCAAAACGGGUUAUCUAAUUUCAUACCCAUUCCCAAGUGUUGGAUCUAAUCUUAGCAUCAUUGACUUAUGAUGAGUGCUGUUGCCUUUUUCUGAGUACAAUAAAGUACAAUACUGUCCUUUGUUUUUUGGUUGCAUCAUCCCAUGUGGCUUUAAUGUAAAAGAGAGAGAAAAAGGGAGAGAGAAUAUAUAUAUAUAUAUAACGUCUCAAGGUUACAAAUAAAAUGGUGCAUUUGUGUUGACUUCAUCUUGCAUAUCUAAGAAAGAAAAAAAGAAAAAUGGGAAGCAUGGAUAGUUUCUCUUCAAUUGAUGAGUAUAGAUUUGAUCCCAAAUGGUUGAUUCAUCCCGAGCAUCUUUUUGUUGGGCCAAGAAUUGGUGAAGGAGCUCAUGCAAAGGUCUAUGAAGGAAAGUAAGUAAAAAGAUUCCCAUACCUUCAUCAAUCAAUCAAUCAAUCUUGAAUCUUGAUUAUCUGUUUUGGUUAUAUGACUAAUGGGCAAAUGGGUAAUUUCCAAUUCUCAUUUAGAUAUAAAAACCAGAAUGUUGCGAUCAAAAUCGUUCAUAGAGGUGACACACCCGAAGAAAUCGUGAAGAGGGAAGCUCGGUUUGUGAGAGAGGUUGCUACAUGGUCUAGAGUUCAACACAAGAAUCUUGCAAAGGUUUGAUUUUGAUUUAUAUUUUUUGAGUUUUGUUUAGGAAAGAAUAAUAUAAAAAAAAGGUGACAAAUUGUUUUUUUUUUUUUUUGGUGUUAAAUAGUUUAUAGGGGCAUGUAAAGAGCCUAUGAUGGUUAUUGUUACCGAAAUUUUAACGGGAGGGUCAUUACGUAAAUAUAUGUUGAAUAAAAGACCGGGGUGUUUGGAUAUGCAUGUUGCUAUUGGUUUUGCACUUGAUAUUGCUCGUGCUAUGGAGUGUUUGCAUUCUCAUGGAAUCAUUCAUCGCGAUCUAAAGCCUGGUAAGUUUUGAAUCCGUUGGAAUUGAAAAAAAAAGAAAAAACUGUUUGUUUUGUCUGAUGGAAUGGAAUUGAUCGUUCCCGAAGGAAAUAUGAUUCCUUCGUUUAUCAAGCGGGAGGUGUUCUUUUUCGUUCCACAUGGAAUGAAAUUGAAAAGUUGUAAAAGAACCCUUUUUUUCAUAAAAUGAAAAAAAAAAAGUUGUUUAUUUUGCUGGAUGGAAUCAAAUGAAUUAUUGAUCACGGAAAUGAUUCCUAACUCGUUUUGAAUUAUAAAACUUUUAAUGACACGAAUCCUUUUCAAUAAUUUCAUGAUUUUAGUUAAAUUGUAAUUUUAUUUUUCAAAAAAAUUACUAGAAAAAUAUUUUUUUUUUAUCCCUUUUAUCAUGUUUGUGUAAAAUAUAAAAUUCUAUAAUAUUAAAAAAAUUUCAUAUAAAAUCAUUUCAUUCCAACAAGCCAACCAAACAUGAUCAUGGAAUGUAAUGACUCAUUCCAUUACCUUGGUGAUUCCAUUCCAUUACAUUCCAUGGAACUAAACAUACCCAUGGCUAAUUUAAAUCCUACAUUUAAUUUAAUUUCUAAUUUUCUACAGAAAACUUGGUGUUGACAAAAGAUCAAAGAACACUAAAACUUGUAGAUUUUGGAUUAGCAAGAGAAGAGACGGUUACAGAGAUGAUGACAGCUGAAACAGGGACAUAUCGUUGGAUGGCUCCAGAGGUAAUUUUUUUAAUCUUUUUUUUUUUUUAAUCAAAGAUAAAGAUUUUAAAUGUUUUUUUUUUGUCAAUAGUUAUAUAGCACUGUGACACUAAGGCAAGGAGAAAAGAAGCAUUACAACCAGAAAGUAGAUGCUUAUAGCUUCGCAAUUGUAUUAUGGGAACUUUUACACAACAGACUACCCUUUGAGGGUAUGUCCAACCUCCAAGCUGCUUAUGCUGCAGCUUUCAAGGUAAAAUAGUAACUUCGUUAUUUCUCCUAAAGGGCAAAAUAGUAAAUACUUACUUGGUUUUUAUCUUUUUUCAGAAUGUGAGGCCAAGUUUGGAAGAUCUACCAGAAGAUUUAGCAAUGAUUCUGAGUUCAUGUUGGAUGGAGGAUCCAGAUGCUCGACCAAACUUCAGUCAAAUCAUACAAAUGUUGUUACAUUAUUUUUCGACCAUUUUGCCCUCCAAACCCAUACUUCCUUCUCGCCUUUUUGUAAAUGAAAAUGCCCCCAUGUCUCCAGAAUCUCCAGGCACAAGUGCUUUAAUGGCAGUCUGCAAUUUUACAGGGGAUACCCCUAGAGAAAUGGAACAUAAUAAGCCAAAAGGUUUCUUUUUCUGUUUUAACCAGUGCUAUUAAUGCCCAAAUCACAAGGUGAUCAAGUCUGAACGUGUAUUUUUUUAUAAACGCUGUGGUGUUUUUCUAAGAAAAAUGCUAACUUUAUCAUCUUGUAAAUUAUUCAGCUCUGAGUUAUAUGAUAUAGAUAUUGUCAUGUUGAUGUCUUUUUUGGUUCUCUAUUUACCAUUUUAAACAAGUUUUUGACAAAAGAUAUGUGAAAUAAAGUGUCACAACUCACAAUUUUUUUUUUAUUUUUUUCACCAGUAAUCCUUGCAAGAACACAAUCCAUCUUUGAAAUGAUGAAACCGAGUUCGAUCCCUAACAAUUAUCUCUCUGUUAUAAACUUUUGAAAUCAUUUUUGUUGCUUCAUGACAAUCACUACACACCCGAAGAUUCUUUGAAACCCUAAUAGGGGUACCAAUGGAAGUCUUAAUAAGUCCAAAAGCAAUUGCCAAUUUCUCACUAUGAUGAGAAACCGAUUUUUCUUUAUCAUAUUCUUCUGCCUCCAAUCUUGCAUCUUCCAUAUUCAUCACAUAACCAGCCAACUUUAUCCUCUUCAUCAUCUUUUCAGUAGCUGCAUAUAUUUUCUCACACUCAAAAUUCGCAUCAUCUUCAGCAAAAAACUCAUGAAUGACACCAUUGACUUCAAUUGAGCUACACCCUGGACUCUUUUUAAUAACACCCUUUUCUUUCAUCUCUCUUCUUACCCUAAAUGCAUCUUCUAACCUACCAACUGAUGCAUAGAUACUAGAUAGAAGUAAAUAGUCUCCACUAUGAACAGUUUCCAAAUUCAUUAUCUUCUUCAAUGACUCUUCUCCAAUUCCAACGUUUUUAUAAACUUUGCAUGAUGCCAAUAAUGUCCUCCAGAUAAGUGCAUUUGGCUUCAUGUUCAUUGGCAUGUUUUGUAUAAAUUGAUUAGCCUCCUCCAAUAAUCCAGCUCUCCCUAACAUAUCAACCAUGCAACCAUAAUGCUCGAUUUUUGGUUCUAUAUCAAAAUCUUUAAUCAUACUUGAAAACAACUCACGACCUUUUUCAACUAAACCUGAGUGGCUACAAGCAGAAAGAACACCAAUGAAAGUUAUAUCAUUUGGUUGUAUAUGUUUGGUCAACAUCAGGUCAAAGUAGUUCAGAGCUUUGUCCCCUUGUCCAUUGCUUGCAAGACCUUGAAUGAGUACACUCCAUGACAAUACAUUCUUUCUUGACAUUUUUUUAAAGACUUCAAUUGAGUUAUCAAUAGAGCCACAUUUUGCAUAGAAAUGUAAUAAAGCAGUUCCGAGUGUUACUGUAAGUGGUAAUUUUUUCUUGUUUAUAUAGAAAUGGACCCAUUUACCUGUUGCUAAAGCUCCAAGUUCAGCACAUGAAGAAAGGACACUGACCAUGGUGACCUCAUUGGGUUCAAUGUUAGCUUUUUGCAUGUCAUGAAAUAGGGAAAGUGCUUCUUUGCAUCUAUUUGUUUGGUUGUAGCCAGAUAUCAUUGCACUCCAAGCAACCACAUCCUUAUGUGACAUUUGAUUAAACAAACUUCGAGCUUUAUCUACAUGCCCACAUUUAGCAUACAUGUCAACAAGAGAAGUGAUUAAAGUGGGAUUCCUUUUGAGCCCAUUUGCUUCUAUAUAGUCUUUGAUCCAUUCCCCUAACUUCAAAGCACCAACACGUCCACAUGCUGUCAAAACACUAACUAAAGUGACCUCAUCAAACUUCGUAUCUGUUUCAAGCAUGUAGUAAAACAAAUCAACAGCUUCUUUCCAGCAUCCACUCUUUGUAUAACCAGAAAACAAAGCAUUCCAUGCAAAAAUGUCUCUUACAGACAUUUCAUCAAACACCUUGCGAGCAAUCCCAGCUUGCCCACAGUUUCCAUACAUUUUGAUCAGACCAUUCUCAGCAAACCUCGACGAUCUGCAUCCCAAUUUCAUAAGCUGGCCGUGAAUCUGUUUCCCCUCCUCCAAAGCUCGUAAUCUUGAGCAAGCUUUUAAAACACAAGGAAAGGUAAACUCGUCUGGCUCCACCGACGUUUCCUUCAUUUUCUUGAACAUAAGAAUAGCUUCAUGAGAGAAAUUUUUCAAAGUCAGACCCCUUAUCAUGAUGUUGUAUGCAGAUGAAUUGGGCUCGUUUAACUUCUCGAAAACAGAGAUGGCGUAAUCCAUAGGUUGGUGACGCAGGAGGAUGGCAGCGGAUUCGAGGAAGUUUUCCGCCACCGACGGACUGCUGAUGAAACGGGUUUUGAUGAGAUGGGCAUGAAUUUGGUUGAGGUCUCUUACAGUCUUGCAUUGUUCAAGAAUCAGUGGUUUAGGAUUAUCAGGGAAUUGGGUGAUUAUUAUAGGUUUUGUGGUGGUUAUUUUGGCGGGAGAGAUAGAAACUGCAACAGCCAUUAUCCUUUCUUGUUUCAAGCUUGAAAGACAAGAAUUGUAAUUUCUAAAGCUCGAAUCUUUAGGGGGUGUUUGGACCCUUCAUGGAAAUCCUACAUCUAAUUCCGAUUUUCAAGUAACAAUAAUUAUUUUCAAAAUAUUUACAGUAAAACGGAUGCCUUUUAUUGGAUAAUACGUAUACAUGAUAUAUUAUAGCUUCGAAAUCAAGAUAACGCAAUACAAAAGGCAACAAAAGGUAUAAACGUGCAUAUCAUUUACCACUCAUGUCCAACCAAUUUAUUCCAUUGCCAUACCACCAUAUGAUAUAAAAAGAAUUCGAUUCAAUAGUGACAACCCGUCUUUUCCAAACCAUAUUCGCAAUGACUACAUACUCUCAAGUGUUUAUAAAUAUCUUAGAAUUAUCAUAAACACAAUUAUACUUCACACAAACAAGAAAAAACAAUGUCUAGAAGCUUAAACCAUGGUUAUGGUUUUAACAACCGUAUGAACAUGCGUAGGGAUCCUAUAGUCACCUAUGAUGUUCCUCAAUCCAGCAACAUCCACUUGGUAUUUGAUGAUGAUCGUGUCAUGUUUGAGGAGGAGCGCCCUAUUGUUGGCUAUCCGCAUCGUGUUGCCUUUGAGGAGCAUCAUGAGCGACCUAUAGUUGGUUACCCGCAUCGUGUUGCCUUUCAGGAACAUCAUGAGCGUCCUAUUGUUGGCUACCCGAAUCGUGUUAUGUUUGAGGAACAUCAUGCUAGUCCCGUGCAUAAAAAUCACCGACAUGGCUCAAUAGAGCCACGCAAGCAAGUCCACUUUGUUGAGCAUGAUGAGAGGGUUAUUGAAUCGACUGAUAACUUUGGAAAUCAAAAAGUUUAUAAGGAAAGCGUUGAUAGUGAAGCUGAUGGGUUCAUCACACGAAAGCAUAAGAACUUUGAGUUGAACAAGUUUGGAACGUUUAAUUAUUUAUAUUAACACCAAAGAAGUUUGGAUUGUGUUUUAGUAUGGAUUAUGUAAUGUUUGUAUUGCCUCUCUUAUUGAUCUAAAUAAGGAGCAAUUUGUUUGUUCCUAUGUUGGUUUCAUUGUAGCCAUGUAUUGUAAGAUGUUUGGUACUGAAUUUAAAGAUGUUUUAUUAGUAUAGAAGUGUGCAUCAAUUGAGAAUAAAUAUGUUUAAAAUGAUGAAGACAACGCAAAAAAAGAAUCGAGUUCAUGAACAAGUGAAUACAAGGGAGGGGGACGAUAUGAUUAGUUGUCGCCAAGAAGGGGACGGAGAUGGGAGUGGAUGUUGUAGGUAAGGGCAAUGGCGGAGCUAGUUUUGGCGUUGGGUGUACAACUAAAUCCCCAAAAUAAAUUUUAUAUAUAUUAAAUUUUAUAUAUUAAUUUUUUAUAUGUAAAUAAGCUUAACUAUCUUGCACCCCCAACUCGAAAAC
rnacentral:lncRNA from 1 species